rnacentral:rRNA from 1 species
UUAACCUACGGGAGGCAGCAGUGGGGAAUUUUGGACAAUGGGCGCAAGCCUGAUCCAGCUAUUCCGCGUGUGGGAUGAAGGCCCUCGGGUUGUAAACCACUUUUGUAGAGAACGAAAAGACACCUUCGAAUAAAGGGUGUUGCUGACGGUACUCUAAGAAUAAGCACCGGCUAACUACGUGCCAGCAGCCGCGGUAAUACGUAGGGUGCGAGCGUUAUCCGGAUUUAUUGGGUUUAAAGGGUGCGUAGGCGGAAUGCCAAGUCAGCGGUAAAAUCGCGGGGCUCAACCUCGCUCCGCCGUUGAAA